rnacentral:rRNA from 1 species
UACCAGCACCCCCGAGUGGUCGGGACGUUUUAUUGGGCCUAAAGCAUCCGUAGCCGGUUCUACAAGUCUUCCGUUAAAUCCAACUGCUUAACAGGUGGGCUGCGGAAGAUACUAUAGAGCUAGGAGGCGGGAGAGGCAAGCGGUACUCGAUGGGUAGGGGUAAAAUCCGUUGAUCCAUUGAGGACCACCAGUGGCGAAGGCGGCUUGCCAGAACGCGCUCGACGGUGAGGGAUGAAAGCUGGGGGAGCAAACCGGG